rnacentral:rRNA from 1 species
UACGAAGGGGGCUAGCGUUGCUCGGAAUCACUGGGCGUAAAGGGUGCGUAGGCGGGUCUUUAAGUCCGGGGUGAAAUCCUGGAGCUCAACUCCAGAACUGCCUUUGAUACUGAAGAUCUUGAGUUCGGGAGAGGUGAGUGGAACUGCGAGUGUAGAGGUGAAAUUCGUAGAUAUUCGCAAGAACACCAGUGGCGAAGGCGGCUCACUGGCCCGAUACUGACACUGAGGCACGAAAGCGUGGGGAGCAAACAGG